GGCAAAUAGAUGAGCUGGCGGGAGAAGAGAAGACACAUAAGUCUAUAGAGAAAAGAGAGAAGUUUGGCUAUUCCAAUUGAAGACAAAGAAGAAGGUAUACGUCGUGGUUUUCUUCUCCAUUUACUUCGCGAAGAGGCUUCACAUGGUCCGGUUUUUUCCUGGAACAAUUGGUCUAGGGGCAGGUUCGGAUCGUGACACUGACCAAUACUUGUGUGAGAGUUGAGAGAAAUUCUGAAGCAACAUCAGUACGGAUAGCUAAAAAAUCAGAAAACUCUUAAGGGUAAUCUAGGGAUGACUCUUGAAGCUAUGCACACUGAGUUGAUUGAGACUUAUGGUGUGGAGGUCAAGGUACGUAAGCCCUAGCCUAAGAAGAUGGAAGAAACAAGCUUUGAGGUUGCUAAAUUUCGAACUAUCAAAGGAACCCAGAAUCACACGUGUGGCGGGUCAUCCCGCACGGGCGGAAGUUUUUCCCUUGCAAACAUUUUGCUUCUAAAAUAAUUGCAAGUGCAGGCAUUUCAACACAAAGCUCAUAUCAUCCAUACCAUUAGUAAUUUCCUUUCCCCCAAGUUUGGUUCACAUUAUAAGAUAAUUUAAGACAUCAACAUUAUGA